AUCGCAGGACGAAGUCUGACGGAGCACGCCGCGUGAACGAUGAAGGUUUUCGGAUCGUAAAGUUCUGUUGUUAGGGAAGAACACGUACCGUUCGAAUAGGGCGGUAUCUUGACGGUACCUAACGAGAAAGCCCCGGCUAACUACGUGCCAGCAGCCGCGGUAAUACGA
rnacentral:rRNA from 1 species